CUUUGGCACUCAAACCUCCUGCCUUGAUCUAUUUCAGGGAACGCUAGAAGGAAACACAGUGAAAGGUUCUGGCAAGAUGCCCAUCCUAUUUCUCGGAUAAGGGCUGAGUGAUGCAACACCAUGACUCCUCUCACAUCUUGCCCAUAACAUGGGGAGGUUUCUUGAACACCUCCAGGGAAAAGUGACCACCACCUCCCUGGGUAGCCUGAUCCAGUGCUUGAUCACUCUUUUGGAUAAGAAGUUUUUCCUAUUAUCCAACAUGAAAUCUUGAUCCACAGAGCCAGAGUGUGUGCCAGCAAUGCCAAUUGCACCCAUAAGCCUAGAAGUUGCCUCUCACUUCUCCCUCUUAAAAUUAUGAAUGCAGCUUUUUGAGUUUUAGGACUUACAUACUGUGAGUUUUCUUCCCAUCCUGAAGCACAAGUUUGGUUUGUUUAGUCUGGAUUGGGGUUCUCUGCAAUUUUCCAUGCUGCAAUGAGGCUUUCAGCAGGACAGCAAGUAUCACAAGUCUCCUGAUAACAUCAUAGGAGCUUACAACACCAGUGCUUGAAGGAGCUCUGCAGAUUCAGCCUUUUUCUGGAAAUAACAUUCCAACAACAUGGAAAUAA
ensembl:lncRNA